AGAUUGAACGCUUGGCGGUCAUGCCUAACACACGCAAGUCGAGCGGGCAGCGCGGGGGCGACCCUGGCGGCGAGCGGCGGACGGGUGAGUAAGGCAUCGGAAUCUGCCCUGAAUGUGGGGGUAUAACCGUAGGGAAACUUACGUCUAAUACCGCAUACGACCGAGAGGUGAAAGCGGGGGACCGAAAGGCCUCGCGCAGCAGGAUGAAGCCGAUGUCCGAUUAGCUGGUUGGUGGGGUAACGGCCCACCAAGGCGACGAUCGGUAGCUGGUCUGAGAGGAUGAUCGAGCCACACUGGGACUGAGAC
rnacentral:rRNA from 1 species